rnacentral:lncRNA from 1 species
GGGAUAACUACAUUUUGUUCCUCGAAGGUUGCCCUGUAAUAGUGGGUGGGAUAAAACUUGCAUUCCCUGUGAUAGGCUUGCUGUCGUCUGUGUUGUUUCAGCGGUUGUAAAGCUGCGCUGAGAGUGAUCUCGACAAUUAGAGUAGACCAGAGCGCGUUGAAGAAAAAAACUAUAGGAAGACUUCUUGAAAAUAUUUCUUUGGGAGUCCUUUGCACCUCUAGCUAAGGAUUUCACUAUUUAAGUUAAAGGCAAGGGCAUAUUUGGAAAAGAGGCUAGGCUAUUGCUUCGUGGUUCGCAGUUGGGAGAUCCGAAUACACCUGACCUAUCUAUCUACCUAACGUUACCCCAGCAGCGGUUCCCACUGUCUUUAUUUGAUGCUGUUGGAGUGAAAUAACGGUAUGAACUUGAAGAAAACAGACACGGAUUAAACAUUUUUCUCUUCGACAGUAACUUCAUUAUCUACUUGCAGAUUUUUUGAGAAAUUAUCUAAUAAAACAGUUUCAGCGUGAAUAUCUACAAUGGCUUUUUUGUUACGGAAUAUCACACUCCCUUACGGACAAUAGCACGGUGCUUUUCUGGAUUCUGGUAACCUUAACUUGGCAAUAUUUAUUUUGCGUGUAAUACUAUUCUCGCGGAUCUAACAGACAUUCUGAUACUGCGUUCCUGAAAGCAAUUCUUCCCGAAGAAAUAAAUCCCACUGCGGUGAAGUAUCCAAACAGCACUGAAGAACCAUCCGGUGAUAGCCUGUGUGGCAAGUUUACGCAGCUCUCCAUACGCGUGGUGUCUCCCAACUCACACCCCCAAGGGAAGAAAAAGCUGCUGAGGCAGUCUCAUCGCCCUGGGUGGACCACACAGACCCAUCAACUCUAACAGACAGCCAGUCCACUUGCCUCCUGACUACACCGCUAACAUCAAAGCUCUCUGUCAGCUUGUAGCCUUUGGGCUCCUCUUUUCCUUCUCGGUCCUUACUGGGGGAUGUCUGUAAUCUAACUGCCCGUGGCCAACUAACUACUAGGUGUGUAUCAAGGUGAACUCGGUGCACCUAAACAUGGCAAAUUGCCAUUUCUCCAUCAUUUCUGCUCAUCCUUGAUGUCCCUUGGCCAGUGGUGCUUGAGUGGAAUUGAAUGGAAGAUGCAAUAGCAGCGUGGUACAUGCUGUGCAAUUGAACGUCUGCUUGUGAUUUCAUUUCAUAUCACGCUGUCUGGUGUGGGUAUUAGUCGUGUGCAUGCUUGUGUUUAUUCGAGGAUGCAUAGUUGAGUAAGGCUGAAUGUCAGUUGUUUGGAGAGACAAAAGAACAUUUUAUUUUCAAUUGUAACCAUUUCGUGUUUGCUUAUGUCUGAAUUGUGAUUGUGUGGAACUAAUAGUCUUUCUGCAGUGAACUCUAACUGGGUGAAUACCUGUUGACCCCACUUCCCCUCUCUCUCCUCCUCCUCCUCCUCCUCCUCCUCCUCCUCCUGCACCGGCAAUAAGACCAGAACUGCCGU